rnacentral:lncRNA from 1 species
CACCACUAAUUAAGACAUGGCUAAUUCCUACUUAUCCUUGCUUGUGUUGCUCCUUCUUGCUCUCAUCCUCACCCCUCAAGGCCUUGCUGAAUCUGACCCUGACUACUACAAACCCCCCUAUAAGUCACCACCCUACAAGAAACCACCAGUCUACAAGAAACCACCAGUCUAUAAGCCCAAACCACCAGUCUACAAGCCCAAACCACCAGUCUACAAGCCCAAACCACCAGUCUACAAGCCCAAACCAAAGCCCUACAAGCCCCCUUAUGG